rnacentral:rRNA from 1 species
CGCCUCUUGACCCACAUAAGAGGUCCAGCCUGCCCAGUGACUAAGUUCAACGGCCGCGGUAUCCUAACCGUGCGAAGGUAGCGUAAUCACUUGUUCUUUAAAUGAGGACUAGUAUGAAUGGCACCACGAGGGUUAUACUGUCUCCUUUUUUUAAUCAAUGAAACUGAUCCCCCCGUGAAGAAGCGGGGAUAAAUUUAUAAGACGAGAAGACCCUAUGGAGCUUUAAACAAUUACAGCACUGGCCCACAUCUCCCCUUCUUCCGAGAUAUAACUAUUAUACAGGCCAACAUGACUAUUAGUUUUAGGUUGGGGUGACCGCGGAGCAAAAACUAACCUCCACGUUGAACGGAGCUACUCCUGAGCUAAAAGCUACAUCUUUAAGCACCAAUAAACUGACAUCAAUUGACCCAAUAUAUUGAACAACGAACCAAGUUACCCUAGGGAUAACAGCGCAAUCCAUUUCAAGAGCCCCUAUCGACAAAUGGGUUUACGACCUCGAUGUUGGAUCAGGGUAUCCCAGUGGUGCAGCCGCUACUAAAGGUUCGUUUGUUCAACGAUUAAAACCCUA